rnacentral:rRNA from 1 species
UACGUAGGUGGCAAGCGUUGUCCGGAUUUAUUGGGUUUAAAGGGUGCGUAGGCGGCCCGUUAAGUCAGUGGUGAAAGCCUCCAGCUCAACUGGAGAACUGCCAUUGAUACUGGCGGGCUUGAGUACAGACGAGGUUGGCGGAAUUGAUUGUGUAGCGGUGAAAUGCAUAGAUACAAUCAAGAACACCGAUUGCGUAGGCAGCUAACUAGGCUGUAACUGACGCUGUGGCACGAAAGCGUGGGGAGCGAACAGG